AAAGACCCAAGCUGAUAGAUACCGGCGUAAAGAGUGGUUAAGUAUCUUGAUAGAACUAAAGCCGAACGCCCUCAAGACCGUUAUACGUUUCCGAAGGUAUGAAGCCCAACUACGAAAGUAACUUUAACUAUAUCCGACUCCACGAAAGCUGCGAAACAAACUGGGAUUAGAUACCCCACUAUGCCCAGCCCUAAACUUUGAUAAUUUAUUACACCCAUUAUCCGCCUGGGAACUACGAGCUUCA
rnacentral:rRNA from 1 species